GGGCUCGUAGCUUAGUUGGUAGAGCGCCUGCUUUGCACGCAGGAGGUCAGGGGUUCGACUCCCCUCGAGUCCA
rnacentral:tRNA from 1 species